GAUGAACGCUAGCGGCAGGCUUAAUACAUGCAAGUUGAGGGGCAGCAUGAUAUACGCGAGUAUAUUGAUGGCGACCGGCGGACGGGUGAGUAAUAGGUAGGAGACCUACCUCAUACAGGGGGAUAGCAUAGAGAAAUCUGUGGUAAUACCCCAUGAGGUUAUAUGAGUAGAGGCAUAUAAUCAAAGCAUAAGCGAUUAUGCGGUAUGAGAGGGGCCUACUGACCAUUAGCUAGUUGGUGAGGUAAGGGCUCACCAAGGCGAAGAUGGUUAGGGGUUUUGAGAGAGAGACCCCCCACAUUGGAACUGAGAGACGGUCCAGACUCCUACGGGAGGCAGCAGUAGGGAAUAUUGGGCAAUGGGCGAAAGCCUGACCCAGCCAUGCCGCGUGAAGGAAGACGGCCUUAUGGGUUGUAAACUUCUUUACUACGCGAAUAGAGGUUAGUACGAGAUACUAAUAGGAAGGUAGUGUAGUAAAAGCACCGGCUAACUCCGUG
rnacentral:rRNA from 1 species